UCGGAGUUGAGCAAUUGAAUACACAGCGUUGGAAAGUGAGGUAUUUUUGUGUGUUAAAUUUUGCCUAAUUAGACCACUAUUUCGCUGCAAAAAAAUAAACAACAAUUGUAUUUUGGCCAUGUCGUGAUUUUUGGUUAUUAUAGAGAGGUUAAGAUACCCCGGUUUCGGUGUACGGGUACGGGUAGCAUGAUUUUGGUUAGCAAUGUUUUCGUCGAUGUCUGUACCUUUACUCGUAAUUAAGGUGCACAUUUUCCCCAUUAUAUCAUUGUCUUGUUGCAAGAAAACAGAAAAAGUAUGAUUGAAUUACAGACAUCAGUAAAAACUAGUAAACAAGAUGACACUACUCGUACCCGUACACCGAAACCGGGGUAUCUUAAACUCACUUAUGUUAAUAAUUUUGUACGACUUUUAAGGCAUUCAAUUGAAGUAAUUCUUGG
rnacentral:lncRNA from 1 species